rnacentral:rRNA from 1 species
UACGUAGGGUGCGAGCGUUAAUCGGAAUUACUGGGCGUAAAGCGUGCGCAGGCGGUUUUGUAAGCCAGAUGUGAAAUCCCCGGGCUUAACCUGGGAAUGGCAUUUGGGACUGCAAGGCUUGAGUGCGGCAGAGGAGACUGGAAUUCCUGGUGUAGCAGUGAAAUGCGUAGAUAUCAGGAGGAAUACCGAUGGCGAAGGCAGGUCUCUGGGCUGACACUGACGCUCAUGCACGAAAGCGUGGGGAGCAAACAGGG